AAAAAGGUGUUUUUCAACACCACCCAAAUAACAUUGAACUCUUUAU
rfam:Polysphondylium pallidum PN500 unplaced genomic scaffold PPL_scaffold3, whole genome shotgun sequence.